rnacentral:rRNA from 1 species
GGCGUGCUUAACACAUGCAAGUCGAACGGUGAAGCCAAGCUUGCUUGGUGGAUCAGUGGCGAACGGGUGAGUAACACGUGAGCAACCUGCCCUGGACUCUGGGAUAAGCGCUGGAAACGGCGUCUAAUACUGGAUAUGAGACGUGAUCGCAUGGUCGUGUUUGGAAAGAUUUUUCGGUCUGGGAUGGGCUCGCGGCCUAUCAGCUUGUUGGUGAGGUAAUGGCUCACCAAGGCGUCGACGGGUAGCCGGCCUGAGAGGGUGACCGGCCACACUGGGACUGAGACACGGCCCAGACUCCUACGGGAGGCAGCAGUGGGGAAUAUUGCACAAUGGGCGGAAGCCUGAUGCAGCAACGCCGCGUGAGGGAUGACGGCCUUCGGGUUGUAAACCUCUUUUAGCAGGGAAGAAGCGAAAGUGACGGUACCUGCAGAAAAAGCGCCGGCUAACUACGUGCCAGCAGCCGCGGUAAUACGUAGGGCGCAAGCGUUAUCCGGAAUUAUUGGGCGUAAAGAGCUCGUAGGCGGUUUGUCGCGUCUGCUGUGAAAUCCCGAGGCUCAACCUCGGGCCUGCAGUGGGUACGGGCAGACUAGAGUGCGGUAGGGGAGAUUGGAAUUCCUGGUGUAGCGGUGGAAUGCGCAGAUAUCAGGAGGAACACCGAUGGCGAAGGCAGAUCUCUGGGCCGUAACUGACGCUGAGGAGCGAAAGGGUGGGGAGCAAACAGGCUUAGAUACCCUGGUAGUCCACCCCGUAAACGUUGGGAACUAGUUGUGGGGACCAUUCCACGGUUUCCGUGACGCAGCUAACGCAUUAAGUUCCCCGCCUGGGGAGUACGGCCGCAAGGCUAAAACUCAAAGGAAUUGACGGGGACCCGCACAAGCGGCGGAGCAUGCGGAUUAAUUCGAUGCAACGCGAAGAACCUUACCAAGGCUUGACAUAUACGAGAACGGGCCAGAAAUGGUCAACUCUUUGGACACUCGUAAACAGGUGGUGCAUGGUUGUCGUCAGCUCGUGUCGUGAGAUGUUGGGUUAAGUCCCGCAACGAGCGCAACCCUCGUUCUAUGUUGCCAGCACGUAAUGGUGGGAACUCAUGGGAUACUGCCGGGGUCAACUCGGAGGAAGGUGGGGAUGACGUCAAAUCAUCAUGCCCCUUAUGUCUUGGGCUUCACGCAUGCUACAAUGGCCGGUACAAAGGGCUGCAAUACCGUGAGGUGGAGCGAAUCCCAAAAAGCCGGUCCCAGUUCGGAUUGAGGUCUGCAACUCGACCUCAUGAAGUCGGAGUCGCUAGUAAUCGCAGAUCAGCAACGCUGCGGUGAAUACGUUCCCGGGUCUUGUACACACCGCCCGUCAAGUCAUGAAAGUCGGUAACACCUGAAGCCGGUGGCCCAACCCUUGUGGAGGGAG